GCAUAUCAAUAAGCGGAGGAAAAGAAACCAACAGGGAUUGCCCUAGUAACGGCGAGUGAAGCGGCAACAGCUCAAAUUUGAAAUCUGGCUCUUUUAGAGUCCGAGUUGUAAUUUGCAGAGGGCGCUUUGGCAUUGGCAGCGGUCCAAGUUCCUUGGAACAGGACGUCACAGAGGGUGAGAAUCCCGUACGUGGUCGCUAGCCUUUACCGUGUAAAGCCCCUUCGACGAGUCGAGUUGUUUGGGAAUGCAGCUCUAAAUGGGAGGUAAAUUUCUUCUAAAGCUAAAUACUGGCCAGAGACCGAUAGCGCACAAGUAGAGUGAUCGAAAGAUGAAAAGCACUUUGGAAAGAGAGUUAAAAAGCACGUGAAAUUGUUGAAAGGGAAGCGCUUGCAGCCAGACUUGCCUGUAGUUGCUCAUCCGGGUUUCUACCCGGUGCACUCUUCUAUAGGCAGGCCAGCAUCAGUUUGGGCGGUUGGAUAAAGGUCUCUGUCAUGUACCUCCUUUCGGGGAGAACUUAUAGGGGAGACGACAUGCAACCAGCCUGAACUGAGGUCCGCGCAUCUGCUAGGAUGCUGGCGUAAUGGCUGUAAGCGGCCCGUCUUGAAACACGGACC
rnacentral:rRNA from 1 species